rnacentral:lncRNA from 1 species
GGGUGUCCAAAGCGAACUUUUCCACUAUCUCUAAGCUUGCCAAGUUGUUGCAGCCCCCUCCAUCAAUAAUCACACGACAUGAACGCUCCUAUAUCACACACUUUGUUUGGAACAAGGUGUGGCGCUGAUUUUGUUCAGCCUUCUCCAUUUGUGCACUCAACACUCGUCGCACAAUGAGGCACUCAUAACGAUCUACAUGUUCAGCUCCAAUGUGUUCUUCAACUGGAUCCUCAUCUCCACCUGCAUGGUCAGCGGCAAGCAAAGCAUAUGUUUCUUCAUCCAUAUCACUAGCAGAGGAAUA